AACAUCGGUGACAGAGAAAUCUGAGACUCGACAUAAUAAUUUUUAAUUUUGUGAUAAACACAACGCAACCGCAAUUGAGGUUGCAUUGCACAUUUGCACCUGUCACAUUUGACUGUAAUCCUCUGCAAUAUCAAAACGUGAUCACCCUAUUAACACGAUCGCGUAGCACGGAUUUACUUGAAUUUCAUGGAUCACUAAGGAAGGGAAUUUGGGAGUACUGGAUGUACAUAGAAUAUUUCCUCCAUCUUUUUAAUUCCUGAGAAACUCUUGAUGUCUCUCUUCAACUCAGCUCUAAUAUUUGGAUUUGCAGCCACUGCCAUAUUAGAUUUUUACUAUA
rnacentral:lncRNA from 1 species